AAAAUGUCCUUGUCCCACUGUUGCUACAAUGUGCACUACAUGGAUCUUCAGCAAGAAUAAUAAGAAGAGAUGCACAGAGAACAAAAAGAAAAGCUGAGAGUGAAAAAUUUUAGAGCUACCACAAAAGAAGAGGAUUGAAAACCCUCUACAUUAUACUGAAGAAUAAUAACUAAUUGUACUUUUAAUUCAUAGUCUUCAUUAAGGCUAGCACCAGUCUAGUAAUUUUGUGACAUUCUUUAAAACCUAGCAUUAAAAUCUUUUUCCACAGAUUUAUAUUGAUUUAAUGAACC
rnacentral:lncRNA from 1 species